AGAGACAGCAGUAGCCGCGGGAAUACGAAGGGUGCAAGCGUUAAUCGGAAUUACUGGGCGUAAGCGCGCGUAGGUGGUUCAUUAAGUUGGAUGUGAAAGCCCCGGGCUCAACCUGGGAACUGCAUCCAAAACUGGUGAGCUAGAGUACGGUAGAGGGUAGUGGAAUUUCCUGUGUAGCGGUGAAAUGCGUAGAUAUAGGAAGGAACACCAGUGGCGAAGGCGACUACCUGGACUGAUACUGACACUGAGGUGCGAAAGCGUGGGGAGCAAACAGGAUUAGAUACCCCGGUAGUCCCUGUCUCUUAUACA
rnacentral:rRNA from 1 species